UACGGAGGAUGCGAGCGUUAUCCGGAUUUAUUGGGUUUAAAGGGUGCGUAGGCGGGCUUUUAAGUCAGCGGUAAAAAUUCGGGGCUCGACCCCGUCCGGCCGUUGAAACUGGGGGUCUUGAGUGGGCGAGAAGAAGGCGGAGUGCGUGGUGUAGCGGUGAAAUGCAUAGAUAUCACGCAGAACCCCGAUUGCGAAGGCAGCCUUCCGGCGCCCUACUGACGCUGAGGCACGAAAGUGCGGGGAUCGAACAGG
rnacentral:rRNA from 1 species